rnacentral:rRNA from 1 species
CAAGUCGGACGGCAGCACACAGAAGCUUGCUUCUUGGGUGGCGAGUGGCGAACGGGUGAGUAACGCAUCGGAACGUACCGAGUAGUGGGGGAUAACUGUCCGAAAGGAUGGCUAAUACCGCAUACGCUUUGAGAAGGAAAGCGGGGGAUCUUCGGACCUCGCGCUAUUCGAGCGGCCGAUGUCUGAUUAGCUGGUUGGUGGGGUAAAGGCCUACCAAGGCGACGAUCAGUAGCGGGUCUGAGAGGAUGAUCCGCCACACUGGGACUGAGACACGGCCCAGACUCCUACGGGAGGCAGCAGUGGGGAAUUUUGGACAAUGGGCGCAAGCCUGAUCCAGCCAUGCCGCGUGUCUGAAGAAGGCCUUCGGGUUGUAAAGGACUUUUGU